UACGGAGGGGGCUAGCGUUGUUCGGAAUUACUGGGCGUAAAGCGCACGUAGGCGGCUUUGUAAGUUAGAGGUGAAAGCCCGGGGCUCAACUCCGGAAUUGCCUUUAAGACUGCAUCGCUAGAAUUGUGGAGAGGUGAGUGGAACUCCGAGUGUAGAGGUGAAAUUCGUAGAUAUUCGGAAGAACACCAGUGGCGAAGGCGGCUCACUGGCCCGGUACUGACGCUGAGGUGCGAAAGCGUGGGGAGCAAACAGG
rnacentral:rRNA from 1 species